GGCCCGCGCGCCGCUCCGAUCCCGGCGGGAGCCGCUCCCGGAGCCGCUCCUGGAGCCGCCCCGGAGCCCGAGCCGCGGGAGCUGCCGGACAAGGACGGCCGGCGGGACGCGUCGGCGCGGCGGGCGGGCGGGCGGACGGACGGUGGCGGCGGCGGCUCUGUUCUUAAGACAUUUCAGCCAUGACUAAGAGAGAAGCAGAGGAGCUGAUAGAAAUAGAAAUUGAUGGAACUGAGAAACAGGAAUGCACUGAGGAAAGCAUCGUCGAGCAAACCUACACCACAGCAGAAUUUGUGAGUCAGGCCAUUGACAUCAAUGAACCCAUUGGAAAUCUUAAGAAGUUGCUGGAACCCAGACUGCAGUGUUCCUUGGAUGCACAUGAAAUUUGCCUGCAAGAUAUCCAGUUGGACCCGAAUCGAAGCCUUUUUGAUCAAGGAGUGAAGACAGAUGGAACAGUGCAACUCAGCGUGCAAGUGAUAUCUAGGCAAGGGAUAGAGCCCAAGUUGAACAUCCUUGAAAUUGUGAAGCCUGUGGAGACGGUGGAGGUGGUGAUUGAUCCAGAUGCUCAUACUGGAGAGGCUGAAGCUCACCUCGUUGAGGAAGCUCAAGUGAUAACCUUGGAUGGAACAAAACAUAUUGCAACAAUUUCAGAUGAAACCUCUGAGCAAGUGACACGAUGGGCUGCAGCACUGGAAGGCUACCGGAAGGAGCAGGAGCGCCUGGGAAUUCCUUACGACCCGGUGCAGUGGUCGACAGACCAUGUGCUGCACUGGGUGGUGUGGGUGAUGAAGGAGUUCAGCAUGACCGACAUCGACCUCUGCACGCUCAGCAUUCCUGGGAGGGAGCUCUGCAGCCUCAGCCAGGAAGACUUCUUCCAGCGCGUCCCACGGGGAGAAAUCCUCUGGAGCCACCUGGAGCUUCUCCGAAAGUAUGUGUUGGCUAGUCAAGAACACACUGGAGAAAUAGCAACUGUUACUAUUGAUCAGCCUGUGCAGAUUAUUCCAGCAUCUGUGCAGCCUGCUACCCCGACCACCAUUAAGGUGAUAAACAGCAGUGCAAAGGCAGCCAAAGUGCAGCGAGCUCCAAGGAUCUCCGGGGAAGACCGGAGUUCCCCUGGGAACAGAACAGGGAACAACGGCCAGAUCCAGCUGUGGCAGUUUUUGUUGGAACUUCUCACUGACAAAGAUGCUCGGGACUGUAUCUCUUGGGUUGGUGAUGAGGGAGAGUUUAAAUUGAAUCAGCCUGAACUGGUUGCACAGAAGUGGGGACAGCGCAAAAACAAGCCCACCAUGAACUACGAGAAGCUUAGUCGGGCCUUGAGGUAUUACUAUGACGGAGACAUGAUCUGCAAAGUGCAGGGGAAGAGGUUUGUGUACAAGUUUGUGUGUGACCUGAAGACCCUGAUCGGGUACAGCGCGGCGGAGCUGAACCGGCUGGUCACGGAGUGCGAGCAGAAGAAACUGGCCAAGAUGCAGCUCCACGGCAUUGCACAGCCGGUGACAGCAGUGGCACUGGCUACAGCAUCCCUGCAAGCAGAGAAAGACAACUAAGCACUAGGACCUGAAAGUGGGAACCUGAGGCCUUUCCUCUGCAACCAGAGCAGUUGCUGCUCCCAACUUUAUGAGAAUUGGAAACUUCUGCUGUUCCUUGACCAUACAAUAUAGGGCGUGAUUUUCUAUAAAGAACUGGGACUCACAUAAAUUUGGAUCUUUUAGCAGCAUGUAUUUCAGUGUAAGUUAAGGGAUCCCCCCCAGCUUCUGCAGCUGUGAGUCAGGGCCUCCAUGGUGUGCAGCUGGUGAGAGGUGGAACCACUCAGGCUGUGUGACCACGGCUGUGCAAAGUCAUUUCUGCAGCACUUAUAACAAAAAUGAGUCCUCACAGCAAAAAGGCUGACCAGCUGUCUGAACACAGCCCUUCCCAGUCUUUUGUUCUCUGCUGAAUUACCAAGUGGCAUUUGAUGCUUUCAGAGUUAAAAUAUAUUCAUUAUUCUCGGUUAAUCAAGCAGAGCCGAAAGACACACUAAAUGUUACGAAGCAUCAGGUUCUUAAAAUAGCUUCUGGAAUAGCAAAGGAAACUAAGACUAGGCUUAACUGGAGAUCAGUGCUGAAGAAGGAGAUCCAGGUUUAGAUCUGGCUUAGGUGAAAAGCCAAUUAUGAGUAUUUCAUUGUAAUAUGUAGAUAAUAUGCAUAUAUGAGGGCAAAUACCUGUUUUGAAAUAUGUCGUUGACAUUUGCCAUUUAGCAAAAAGCAAAGAUAAACUUCUUCCCCCACUACCACCCCCCAUCAGGUCAUUCAAAAACUUGAAAAAACAGCCCUCACCCAAAGAGUAGUUUGUUUUUGGGGGGGGGAAGGGGGUUAAUGCUGUGUUCUGCAAGGUGCUUAAACCAGCACAGUAGUCAACCUUAGUAUGCUAAGACUUAAGUUAAUCACAGUCAGUAGUCCCUGGUUAAGAACAAAAAGCAAUUUGAAAGUAGUUGACAGAGCUGAAGUUUGAUUUCCCAAUCAUUGUACAGUCUGAUAUAUAUUAAAAUACAAAGAGGCAUUUUUUAUUUAAAAUUUAUUUCUCUCUUAACUUCAAGUGGUAUUUUCAAAGCUUCUUAAGCCAAAUGCAUGACCCAGAGCUGGGUGCAAUUUGAAGAGGGGAUGAAUUCUGAGCUAUGCUUCAUGCAAACUUACACAUGCAGUAAAAAGCAGGCUGCAGCUUUUUAGCUUCUGUACUGGUGCCUAUGAGUGCUGCUUUUGAUGGCUGAAAAUGGUGCGAUUUGGGGGUUGCUUUUUUCCCCUUCCUGUUAAUAAACAGUAUAAUUAUUAUGUCACCGUUGGUAUUUACCAACGCUUUAUAAGUCAAAGCCCCUCUGGUAACACUUAACAAUUAAAAGGGAAGACCUUUAAUUCUGUGAGGGAUCCAGCUAUCUUAAACCUUAAACCUGAAGUCCCUGUACGGUGAGGUUCUGAACAUGAAGUGUGUUUGUGCUGGACAGGGAGAGCAGGAAUGGUCACGCUUGGAUGCAGAAGGUAGAGGACGUGAAGACUCGUGUAUUUUAAAGAUGUGUUGAGGACAAAGCUUUUUGUUUGUAGGUAGAUACUCAUCUCCAGAUAGUUUUUGCUUAACUAGAAAUCUUGCAUGUAGUUCUGGCUUACUGUUUUUCAUCAUCACCAUGAAUGUAAAAUAUUUUUUGCCAGAUUCUGUGGUACCUCUCACUAUUGUUUUCACUCUUGAGCUCUCAAAGCACUCCAUCUGCUGAGCAUGCUGGCUUCAUUUUGCUUUUAAAAAAAAAUCUAAACCCUGAGCAAAAAAUGUAAGUGCAUCUGUUUAUGAGAGGUCAACAUGAGUCCAUUUAUUGCUAUUAGAGCAGUCUGGUGCCACCAGUUGGCAGGUGUUUGAAGUGGCUUGUGCAGAGAGAUGAGGGUUUGCUUACCAAGAAUGAUGUGAAGGUGGUAGUUUGGUGGUAGCACCUCUAAUUACUAAACAGUAAUUAAUAGUACAAGUCACUGGUUCUAUUUAGCAGGGUUGUUGAGAGGCCUUUUUAGUUAAAAUACAGUAUAAAAAGAGAAGAAGCUUUUCUACAUCAAACUGGACUGUGGGAGGAUAAACAGCAAAACUGAAAUUUAAUCAAAACUUGAUUCCCCUGCGUGUUCUUGUUACAUGGUCAGAAGCUCAGAACAGGAAGAAGGCACUCACUUCAUAUUCUGAAGGUGCAUCUUCUUUGACUCAAUACUUGGCUAUGUGUUUCUGCUUUUAAACUGGAACUUGGUGUCCUUUCUUUCUUUUGCAGCUUUCUUUAACGUCUUCAUUGUGAAUCUCAAAGUGUUGCUUUGAUUUAAAAAAAAAUUAUGAAAACCUAAUAGUAGGACUGAAAUGGAGCUCUAUGAAAUGGUUCAUUUUAUGCUUUUAGUGGUGUUUAAAUCAGAAAGAUUCAUGUUGAUCUGUAAACUUUGGACUUCUUCAUUUCUGCAAGUGGCCCCACUCAUUUCACGUGGCCCUGCUAACUCAACUGUUUGUACUGUCCUGGUUAAAAAGAAGAUAAAAUUCUGGUUAUGCUGCUAUUGCUUUAUUUUAAAAUGAUGUCUCAUUAUACCUCUGAACUCCUCCAUCUGGGCUGCCAAAUUCCAGACAGAAAUAUUUUGUCACCUUUAAACUUGCCGCAUCACUUUAUUUCAAAAUGUUUAUGUUUAGCUUAGCAGCAACAACAUGUAAUGGACUGAAAACACUGGGUUUAGAACACUGCAGUAACUUACUGGACUUCAUGAUCUUGGAGGCCUUUUCCAACCUAAAUGAUUCCAUGCUUUUGGAGUGCACUUAACAAAUGUUUGGUAUUGUAUUAAUUGAGGACCUUUUAUUUGUGUUUAUAGCUAUUAAUAUCUUUAUGCCUUAUGUGAGCUUGUUUUGGAAUUCCUGUUCUCAUACAGAAAUUGUUAUUGGAGCAAUAUAGGGAAUUACAGCUGGCAGCUUGCAACCAAAACAAGCUGACAUAGAACUCUGUUACCUGAUAAAAAAGAGUAGUACAAGGUCCAUUUGCAAAGGUUUAAGGGGAAUAUUUUUACUGACUAGACUGGAGUGUUUUGUUUUUCAAGGUCAUACAUAUUGUUAAGGGCUGUGGGUUUAAUGUAUCAUCAGGACUGCUACAAUAUAUUUGGGUUGAUACUGUAUAAUUUUUUUUUGGAGGUAACUCUUAAUAUGAAUUACUCUAAAUAAGAGAUAAUUAAAGGAGAGGAAUGGCUGACUGUGUUUGAGGGUUGUAAUGCAGAAUCCCAUGCAUUAGACAUAUUAUGACUCAGUGACAUUUUGCAUCAUUAUUUCAGAAUUGGAGGCCACAGAAUCUAAUCAGGCACCAAACUGAAAUGUUACCAUCUUGUAAUUUUAUUGGCAUCUCAGCCAUUAAUGAUUUGAAACUAAAGUUAAAACGUGCUGAGGAGGGAGAAAGAAAUAUUGAAGGUCUGUCCUUUAGUAAAAAUUGUCUUUUACUUGUGGAGCUGGUCUUCUGCAAGCCAGAAUUAAAUGGUUCUAAUGACAGUUGCACCAGAAGAUAGGUGUGGGAGCCACAAACCAGUUCUCAUUUACUUUGAAAAACAGGUAUCAGUUGUUGGGUUUGUGGCACAGAACAUCCAUGUUAAGUUCUUUUUGUAGGUGGUGUUGCUGUAACCAGCUGUGAUGGGAAAGAAAGAAUCCAAAGAAUUAAUGAUUGAUCGUAAUUUUAAGCAACUUACUCAUGGAGUUACUUAAUAGAAAUUAAGUCAGUUUAGAAGAGAUAACUCUGUAUCAGAAACAGUUGGAAUCUGCAUGCAAAUGGUUGACUGUUACCAGAAAAGCUGAAACUCCCUGUAGAGCAUUAAUUUUUCAUUGUCCAACCCUUCUUUACUUAUAAAACAGUGUCUGCUAGACACCAGAUAGUAAUAAAAAUUUAGUUUAUGGUCAUUUUCAGGUUGCAGAAAUUGAAAGGGCUGUUUAGAAACCUCAGGAAAAAUGCUUGUUUGGUUCAGCACAGCUUUGGGGAGUGAGAAAACUUGUGGAGACAUUUAAUUUUGCCUAUUGGUUCAAGUAUUUGCUGCUAAUUAUUUAAAUGAG